rnacentral:rRNA from 1 species
GACGGAGGGUGCGAGCGUUGUCCGGAUUUAUUGGGCGUAAAGAGCUCGUAGGCGGCUCGUCGCGUCGACCGUGAAAACCCGCAGCUUAACUGCGGGCUUGCGGUUGAUACGGGCGGGCUAGAGUUCGGUAGGGGAGACUGGAAUUCCUGGUGUAGCGGUGAAAUGCGCAGAUAUCAGGAGGAACACCGGUGGCGAAGGCGGGUCUCUGGGCCGAUACUGACGCUGAGGAGCGAAAGCGUGGGGAGCGAACAGG